GAUGAACGCUGGCGGCGUGCCUAAUACAUGCAAGUCGAGCGAACAGACGAGGAGCUUGCUCCUCUGACGUUAGCGGCGGACGGGUGAGUAACACGUGGAUAACCUACCUAUAAGACUGGGAUAACUUCGGGAAACCGGAGCUAAUACCGGAUAAUAUAUUGAACCGCAUGGUUCAAUAGUGAAAGACGGUUUUGCUGUCACUUAUAGAUGGAUCCGCGCCGCAUUAGCUAGUUGGUAAGGUAACGGCUUACCAAGGCAACGAUGCGUAGCCGACCUGAGAGGGUGAUCGGCCACACUGGAACUGAGACACGGUCCAGACUCCUACGGGAGGCAGCAGUAGGGAAUCUUCCGCAGUGGGCGAAAGCUUGACGGAGCAACGCCGCGUGAGUGAUGAAGGUCUUCGGAUCGUAAAACUCUGUUAUUAGGGAAGAACAAAUGUGUAAGGAACUAUGCACGUCUUGACGGUACCUAAUCAGAAAGCCACGGCUAACUACGUG
rnacentral:rRNA from 1 species